AUGAAUAUCUUAAGUUGGAACUGCAGGGGAGGGGGGAAUCCCCGGACAGUUCGUGAGCUAGCGACUAUUUGCCAGUCGCAUUCCCCCAAGUUGGUUUUUCUUUCUGAAACUAGGCAAAAGGCGGAAAAGAUGAGGAGGGUCCGUGGUCGUCUCGGCUUGAAGGGUUUUUGUGGUGUGGAUAGUGCGGGCAUGAGUGGUGGGUUGGCUCUGUAUUGGCAUGAGUCGUAUGUGGUGGAGAUCCUUGACAAAACCGAUCGUUAUAUUGAUGCUCAGGUGCAGGUAGAUCAAAACGCAGAAAAAUGGAGAAUCACUUGUGUAUAUGGAGAGCCGAGGGUUGAAAAUAGACAUAUUAUGUGGGAAAAGCUGCAGAACCUGAAAACCACGAGUGACUUACCAUGGUUAGUAGUGGGAGAUUUUAAUGAGGCAAUGUGGGACUUGUUGGGGAAUGUUGCAGAAAAUUAA
rnacentral:rRNA from 1 species